CUUCGCAGCCACUCCCUCCAGGCGCCCACGGCCGGGAACCACCCGCCCGCCCGGAACGCUGCUACUAGCAACCUCUCGGUGGUCCCGCGGCUCACCCGCUUCCGUCUGCCGGGCGCUCGGCAGGAGCGGGGUGCUGUCCGAGCUCUCCUCCUCAUCGUUUCCCGCCGGACCCCGAAGCAGGGGCCUCAUGACGCCUGGAGAGCAGAUGUGCCGACGUCGCCGCUCGGCCAACAGGGCUCUCGAGAGGACAGCCCCUCGCCGCGCUGGCUAGGCGGGGCAGGGCAUUACUCCGCCCUCUGCCCCCUAGGCUCCGCCCAGCUCUGGUUGCGUGUUCCUAAGGCGCCAUCUUAGUUUCGGGCAACCCCGGUGUGGGCAGGGCUGGGUUGGGCGUGGCGCUUGCGUGGUGCGAGGUGUGUUGCUCUAGUCCCCUAGUGAAAGCCCGGGGCACUGGGCAGCGAUGGGGCUUGCAUCUCGCUAUGAUAGGGAGCUAGGGAAAUGGGCAGGGAGUAUUUGCCUUCCAGAUGUCUGUAGUAGAGAGUUCCCAAUCUUUAUCCGUUUUAUGACAGCAUCUGCUUUUUCUCUUUAGGAAGGUAUUGUGCAUUGAACCCAGGGCCUCACACAUAUUAGACUAACGCUGAUACCAUCGACCUACAUCCCCAGCUGGCAGGCCACGAGACACGGAUGGAAAAGACAGAUGUGGUAGAUGCCCUUGGAGAGGUCCAGGCAGACCAAGGAAGAGCAGAGGCUCAGGCAGCAAGAGUCUCUGGCUGGGUUGCUAUUCAUGACGUAGUGUGGGAAGCCCUGCUGUGCUCUCGGAGAUUCUCAAACCGAAACUACAAGUUGACAGC